rnacentral:rRNA from 1 species
CUAAGAAUAUUCCGCAAUGGACGGAAGUCUGACGGAGCGACGCCGCGUGGAUGACGAAGGCCGAAAGGUUGUAAAGUUCUUUUGCUGGGGAAGAAUAACCGCAGGAGGGAAUGCCUGUGGGAUGACAAGAACCGGCGAAUAAGCCCCGGCCAACUACGUGCCAGCAGCCGCGGUAACACGUAGGGGGCGAGCGUUGUUCGGAAUUACUGGGCGUAAAGGGCAUGUAGGCGGCUUGGAAAGCCUGGCGUGAAAGUCUGCAGCUUAACUGCAGGGGUGCGCUGGGAACUGCUGAGCUUGAGUGACGGAGAGGGAGCUGGAAUUCCUGGUGUAGGGGUGAAAUCUGUAGAUAUCAGGAAGAACACCGAUGGCGAAGGCAAGCUCCUGGCCGAUGACUGACGCUGAGGUGCGGAAGUGUGGGGAUCAAACAGGAUUAGAUACCCUGGUAGUCCACACAGUCAACGAUGUGCACUAGGUGCUGGGGCGGUAGCUUCGGUGCCGGAGCGAACGUGGUAAGUGCACCGCCUGGGGAGUAUGCUCGCAAGGGUGAAACUC